CGGACGGGUGAGUAACGCGUGGAAAACCUGCCGUAUACUGGGGGAUAACACUUAGAAAUAGGUGCUAAUACCGCAUAAGCGCACAGCUUCGCAUGAAGCGGUGUGAAAAACUCUGGUGGUAUACGAUGGUUCCGCGUCUGAUUAGCUAGUUGGUGGGGUAAUGGCCUACCAAGGCAACGAUCAGUAGCCGGCCUGAGAGGGUGAACGGCCACAUUGGGACUGAGACACGGCUCAAACUCCUACGGGAGGCAGCAG
rnacentral:rRNA from 1 species